GACAGAGGUGCCAAGCGUUAGGCGGAAUCACUGGGCUUAAAGCGUGUGUAGGCGGGUGCCUAAGUACCUUGUGAAAUCCCCCGGCUCAACCGGGGAACGGCUGGGUAUACUGGGUGCCUUGGGUCAUCUAGGGGCUGCCGGAACAAAUGGUGGAGCGGUGAAAUGCGUAGAUAUCAUUUGGAACGACCAACGGCGAAAGCAGGCAGCUGGGGAUGCACCGACGCUGAGACACGAAAGCCAGGGGAGGCGAACGGG
rnacentral:rRNA from 1 species